UCAGCAAUGGCAGCGGCGGACGGGUGAGUAACGCGUAGGAAUGUAUCCAGAGGUGGGGGACAACCCCGGGAAACUGGGGCUAAUACCGCAUAUGUCCUGAGGGACAAAGCAGUGAUGCGCCUUUGGAGCAGCCUGCGUCCGAUUAGGUAGUUGGUGGGGUAAUGGCCUACCAAGCCUGCGAUCGGUAGCUGGUCUGAGAGGACGAUCAGCCACACUGGGACUGAGACACGGCCCAGACUCCUACGGGAGGCAGCAGUGGGGAAUAUUGGACAAUGGGCGAAAGCCUGAUCCAGCAAUGCCGCGUGUGUGAAGAAGGUCUUCGGAUCGUAAAGCACUUUCGACAGGGACGAUGAUGACGGUACCUGUAGAAGAAGCCCCGGCUAACUUCGUGCCAGCAGCCGCGGUAAUACGAAGGGGGCUAGCGUUACUCGGAAUUACUGGGCGUAAAGGGCGCGUAGGCGGCUUGGCCAGUCAGGCGUGAAAUUCCUGGGCUUAACCUGGGGACUGCGCUUGAUACUGCCAGGCUUGAGGCCGAGAGAGGGUGGUGGAAUUCCCAGUGUAGAGGUGAAAUUCGUAGAUAUUGGGAAGAACACCGGUGGCGAAGGCGACCACCUGGCUCGGUACUGACGCUGAGGGCGCGACAGCGUGGGGAGCAAACAGGGAUUAGAUACCCUGG
rnacentral:rRNA from 1 species